UACGUAGGGUGCGAGCGUUAAUCGGAAUUACUGGGCGUAAAGCGUGCGCAGGCGGUUCGCCAAGUCAGGUGUGAAAUCCCCGGGCUUAACCUGGGAAUUGCGCUUGAAACUAGCGGGCUUGAGUGUGGCAGAGGGGGGUGGAAUUCCACGUGUAGCAGUGAAAUGCGUAGAGAUGUGGAGGAACACCGAUGGCGAAGGCAGCCCCCUGGGUCAACACUGACGCUCAUGCACGAAAGCGUAGGGAGCAAACAGG
rnacentral:rRNA from 1 species